UACAGAGGUCCCGAGCGUUGUUCGGAUUCACUGGGCGUAAAGGGUGCGCAGGUGGGUUGGCAAGUUUGAUGUGAAAGCCCCGGGCUUAACCCGGGAAUGGCAUUGAAUACUGCUGAUCUGGAGGAUUGGAGGGGGGACUGGAAUUCUUGGUGUAGCAGUGAAAUGCGUAGAUAUCAAGAGGAACACCAGUGGCGAAGGCGAGUCUCUAGACAACUCCUGACACUGAGGCACGAAAGCUAGGGGAGCAAACAGG
rnacentral:rRNA from 1 species